AUGUACCAAAAGCCGGAUCUGACCGGAAGUGAUUGAGUGAGCGGUUUGUUUGGAAAAUCCUGAACGGAGCGAGUAGUGUUGUGAAGUUUAUAUGGAGUUGUAUGAUGUUUUGCCCGUUUUGUGGAAACCAUUUCAGCCUGUUACCGCGGUUUUGCAUUUCGUGUGGACGGUCUCUGGAGUUUUUAAAAGACACGGACCAGACGGAAGGACCAAGCGCACAGGGAACAGCUAAACAGCCGGAAAAUGCUAAACAAACAGAACAACCAUGCCCAUCAUAUAAACAGUUCAUGGAGUACAGAAGCACCAAGUCCAAAGAACGGCAGUCUUUUAACUGUGGGCCGAAAGAAAAACAUAAACAAGAAAAGAAAAACGUCCAGAUAAACAUAGGAUUGAUGGUGCCACAUGGAAC